rnacentral:rRNA from 1 species
UACGUAGGGGGCAAGCGUUGUCCGGAAUUAUUGGGCGUAAAGAGCUCGUAGGCGGUUUGUUGCGUCGGCUGUGAAAACCUACAGCUUAACUGUGGGCCUGCAGUCGAUACGGGCAGACGUUGAGUUCGGCAGGGGAGACUGGAAUUCCUGGUGUAGCGGUGAAUGCGUAGAGAUCCGGAGGAACACCAGUGGCGAAGGCGACACGCUGGGCCGUACCUGACACUGAUACGCGACGAGCAUGGGAGCGAACGGG